AGAACGAACGCUGGCGGCGUGCCUAACACAUGCAAGUCGAGCGCGAAAAGAGCAAUCUGAGUAGAGCGGCGCACGGGUGCGUAACACGUGGGUAAUCUGCCUCGAGGUUUGGGAUAACCUUCCGAAAGGUUGGCUAAUACCAGUUAAGCUCACGGUGACUUCGGUCGCUGAGAGAAAAGGGGCCCGAAAGGGUCUCGCCACGAGAUGAGCCCGCGGCCCAUCAGCUAGUUGGUGAGGUAACGGCCCACCAAGGCUACGACGGGUAGCUGGUCUGAGAGGACGAUCAGCCACACUGGAACUGAGACACGGUCCAGACUCCUACGGGAGGCAGCAGUGGGAAUUUUGCACAAUGGGCGAAAGCCUGAUGCAGCAACGCCGCGUGUGUGAUGAAGGUCUUCGGAUCGUAAAGCACUUUCGACCGGACGAACAAGGCUGGCCACACCAGCCCCUGACGGUACCAGGAGAAGAAGCACCGGCUAACUCUGUCG
rnacentral:rRNA from 1 species